GGCUCGAGGACGAACGCUGGCGGCGUGCCUAACACAUGCAAGUCGAGCGGAGUCAGUAAGAGGAAGUUUCGGAUGGAAUCUUGUUGAUUUAGCGGCGGACGGGUGAGUAACGCGUGAGCGACCAACCUUGCACAGGGGGAUAACGGACCGAAAGGUUCACUAAUACCGCAUGAGACCACGGUGUUGCAUGACACAGAGGUCAAAGGAGCAAUCCGGUGCAAGACGGGCUCGCGUCCGAUUAGGUAGUUGGAGGGGUAACGGCCCACCAAGCCUAUGAUCGGUAGCCGACCUGAGAGGGUGAUCGGCCACAUUGGAACUGAGAUACGGUCCAAACUCCUACGGGAGGCAGCAGUGGGGAAUAUUGGGCAAUGGGGGAAAAACCCCCUGACCCAGCAACGCCGCGUGAAGGAAGAAGGUUUUCGGAUUGUAAACUUCUGUCCUUGGUGAAGAGAAGAAGACGGUAGCCAAGGAGGAAGCCCCGGCUAACUACGUGCCAGCAGCCGC
rnacentral:rRNA from 1 species